UAGGGAAUUCGGCAAUGGACGGAAGUCUGACCGAGCAACGCCGCUGAGUGAAGAAGGUUUUCGGAUCGUAAAGCUCUGUUGUAAGAGAAGAACGAGUGUGAGAGUGGAAAGUUCACACUGUGACGGUAUCUUACCAGAAAGGGACGGCUAACUACGUGCCAGCAGCCGCGGUAAUACGUAGGUCCCGAGCGUUGUCCGGAUUUAUUGGGCGUAAAGCGAGCGCAGGCGGUUAGAUAAGUCUGAAGUUAAAGGCUGUGGCUUAACCAUAGUAGGCUUUGGAAACUGUUUAACUUGAGUGCAAGAGGGGAGAGUGGAAUUCCAUGUGUAGCGGUGAAAUGCGUAGAUAUAUGGAGGAACACCGGUGGCGAAAGCGGCUCUCUGGCUUGUAACUGACGCUGAGGCUCGAAAGCGUGGGGAGCAAACAGGAUUAGAUACCCUGGUAGUCCACGCCGUAAACGAUGAGUGCUAGGUGUUAGACCCUUUCCGGGGUUUAGUGCCGCAGCUAACGCAUUAAGCACUCCGCCUGGGGAGUACGACCGCAAGGUUG
rnacentral:rRNA from 1 species